CGGGUGCAUUUGUAACAAGCCUCAAAGAGCAGCUUCGAGCACCGGUGCUUCGAAAGCUCGACACAGUAUCGAAACCUCAGUAUCGAGCGGCCAAUCACUAGGCUGAGAUGGCUUUCCGUAGACGUUUCAUUUUGGGACACACCACUGGUAAUGUGACGUCAAGAAUGUCUAUUAUAGAAAAAAUCAAGAUUACUUUAAAAGGUUAUGAUGUGGGAAACAAAUUUUCACACUUACCAUUUAAACCUAAAGCAUCAGUACUUAUCCCUUUGUUUUUUAAAAAAGGAGAGGUUCAUGUACUGUUGACUGUUCGGGCCAAACAAUUAAAGCAUUUUGCUGGUGAAAUAUGUUUUCCUGGUGGAAAAUCUGAUCCUGUGGAUAAUAAUGAAAUAGACACAGCUCUGAGAGAAGCAGAAGAAGAAAUAGGGCUUCCACGUGAGAAAGUGAAUGUGAUCUGCAGACUUGUUCCAAUAAUUACCAAGGCUGGAACAUUGGUAACUCCAGUGGUCGCCUUUAUUGAAGAAAAGUUUCAAGCCCGGCCCAACCCAGAUGAAGUGAGUGAUGUAUUUUCUGUGCCUCUCGCCUACUUUCUGGAUACAACAGACCAUGACAGACAAUUCCUCCCAAGACAAACCAGUCAGAAAUUACAAGAGUAUUUGGAUUUUUUCACAUACCAGGAUCCAGAAACAAACAAGUCCUAUUUAAUCUGGGGUCUAACUGCUAGUUUGGCUUUGAUUGUUGCCUGGUUAACCUUUGGGACGAAACCCAGUUUUGUAUCAGCCUUUGACGUUAAUGAUAUGCUGACCCAUUUGGAAGCAAAGCUUAAAACACACCUGCAAAGCAACCUAUGAUAUAAUUACACAUUAACAGUACUAAUUGACAAUGGAAAUGACCAAAUUUUGGAUUGAAACUGAAUUCUUGCACAUGUAUGAGGAAGAAAAUCAUAUAUUCCAAGAGUGUGUAGCCCUUAAUGAAGAAAUAAUGUAACUGAUUAUGUCUGCUUUUCUUUGCAGAAAUAAAAUAUUUCCAAUAUGUUUGCCAAAUUGUGUAGAGAAUAUCAUGUAAGGGUACUCUGUUUUUCCUCAAACAACUCAAAAGACAUGAAGAUCAUAAUUGGCAAUUCAGAAUUGGCUUUGUGUGAGUAUGUGUGUGUGAAUGAACUCUGCUGAGUCCAGGCUAAGUUUCUGUCUUGUGCACUAUGCUGCCAGGACAGGCUCUGUGACCCAGAAUCGUGUUAGGGGGAUUUGUGAAAGGUAUUUAAUGUUAUAAAUAUAUCGAUAAGCCACAACAUUAAAGCCACUGACAGGUGAAGUGAAUAACAUUGAUUAUCUUGUUAUGUCACCUAGGAAAGUGUGGGAUUUAUUAGACAGCAAGCAAACAGUCAGUUUUUGAAGGCGAUGUUUUGGAAGCUAGAAAAAUAGGUAACUGUAAGGAUCUGAGCGACUUUGACAAGGGCCAAAUUGUGAUCAGAGCAUCUCCAAAAUGGUCAGUCUUAUGGGUUGUUCUCUGUGUGUAGUGGCCUUUUUAUAACUUCAUUUUAAUCAUAAUUUAACUUAAUCCUGAUACUCUGUAUGUUCAAUUCAUCAUAACAA